GCUCACCGAAGUUAAGCAUCAUUGGGCGCGGUCAGUACUUGGGUGGGUGACCACCUGGGAACACUGCGUGCCGUU
rnacentral:rRNA from 1 species